rnacentral:lncRNA from 1 species
UUGUGUGUGUGGGUCGUGGUACUAUUGGUCGUUUUUAAGUGAAUUUAUGGCCGGCUUUCAAGGCAGACAGGAAGGAGAUAUGGGUUUCUUAGGAGCUUGUUAGCUUGCUCCCAUGGCCCUAAGGGGAGUAGGGUUCAAGCGUGGAAGGAUAGCAACAAGCAUAGGUUCACAGAAUCCAAAGGAACUUCGGCCCGUCAGGAUUCUCUCUCGAUCUAUUACACUGUUGAUACCCCUGGUGUCUCGGUGGCUGGUAGUCAUGGGCAUC